AACCAGCACCUCAAGUUGUCAGGAGGAUUAUUGGGCCUAAAGCAUCCGUAGCCGGCUCUGUUAGUUUUCGGUUAAAUCCAUAUGCUCAACAUAUGGGCUGUCGGAAAUACUGCAGAGCUAGGGAAUGGGAGAGGUAGACGGUACUCGGUAGGAAGGGGUAAAAUCCUUUGAUCUAUCGAUGAACACCAAUUGCGAAGGCAGUUCACUGGACCGUGAUCGACGCUGAGGAGCGAAAGCUAGGGGAGCAAACAGG
rnacentral:rRNA from 1 species